rnacentral:rRNA from 1 species
GAUGAACGCUGGCGGCGUGCCUAAUACAUGCAAGUCGAGCGGUAAGGCUUUCACAGAUUAUUUAACCAGAUAAGUUCUUCGGAAAACUGUUUGCAGCGAUGAUUCCCCGGCUAGGGAAUCAGAGUUGAAUAAUGCGUGAAGGUACACGAGCGGCGGACGGCUGAGUAACACGUAGGAACGUACCCCAAAGUGAGGGAUAAGCACCGGAAACGGUGUCUAAUACCGCAUGUGAUCUUCGGAUUAAAGCUUCGGCGCUUUGGGAACGGCCUGCGCAUGAUUAGCUUGUUGGUGAGGUAAAAGCUCACCAAGGCGACGAUCAUUAGCUGGUCUGAGAGGAUGAUCAGCCAGACUGGGACUGAGAACGGCCCAGACUCCUACGGGAGGCAGCAGUAGGGAAUUUUCCACAAUGGACGAAAGUCUGAUGGAGCAACGCCGCGUUGCAAGGAUGAAGGGUUUCGGCUCGUAAACUGCUUUUAUCUGUGAAGAUUAUGA